rnacentral:pre_miRNA from 1 species
AGGUUACGAAAUGCAGCCAAGGAUGACUUGCCGGCAAGAUCGAUCAAUUCUGCUCGAUCGAGUACUUUGUAGUUCUCAACUGAAGAGUGGAGAUUAUCAUUUUGAUUGGCAAGUCAUUUUUGGCUACGUUUCUGCCUCA